rnacentral:lncRNA from 1 species
UCUGCACACAACAAGCGCUCAAUAAAGACGAUUGAAUGAAUGAAUGAAUGAAAGGCCGCGGGCUGGGGGUGGGUGGGGUGGCGAUGGGGCGCGUUCGUGACGCCAGGGGGCGCCCUCGACUCGAAGCGCAAACGGGGCCCCCGGCGCAGCCCCGCGGCUGAGCGUUGUAGCAAGCGAGGUGGGCGGGCAGGCGAGGAGGAGGGGAGGCGGUGCUGCGGCCGGCCGAUGGAGCGGCUCAGCAUGUCGUCCCUAAGGAGGAGGGGCUACCACCGUUCGGGCCGCCGGGGCAGAAAGUCCGGGAGCAAGCCGGCGCCUCAGCCCCGGGAGGAGCUGAAGCCUCCGCGCCCGGUUCCGGCCGGUUGGGGAGCAGCGGUGCUGCUUGGCCCCAGGUCGCGGGAAUCGACGGCAUCUUGGGCCCGGCCCAUGGCCCUGCCCACACCCAGCUCACUGCAGAUUUUCCUCUGUCUCUGGUCUGAAUCUGACAAGAACUCAUCAGUAACUGGGGAUUGAUUGGAGCAUACUUUUUUUGGCUUUUCUCCGGGCAUCCUCAGGUGACCUUGUGCCUCUGCUAGAUGCACACUAACAACUCCAAGGGCUUACAAGAAAGAGAU